AAAACAUGCAAGUCGAGGGGCAGCAUGAUCUUAGCUUGCUAAGGUCGAUGGCGACCGGCGCACGGGUGCGAAACGCGUAUGCAACUUGCCUUACAGAGGGGGAUAACCCGUUGAAAGACGGACUAAAACCGCAUACACUUGUAUUAUUGCAUGAUAUUACAAGGAAAUAUUUAUAGCUGUAAGAUAGGCAUGCGUCCCAUUAGCUAGUUGGUGAGGUAACGGCUCACCAAGGCGACGAUGGGUAGGGGAACUGAGAGGUUUAUCCCCCACACUGGUACUGAGACACGGACCAGACUCCUACGGGAGGCAGCAGUGAGGAAUAUUGGUCAAUGGGCGAGAGCCUGAACCAGCCAAGUCGCGUGAAGGAAGACAGUCCUAAGGAUUGUAAACUUCUUUUAUACGGGAAUAACGGGCGAUACGAGUAUUGCAUUGAAUGUACCGUAAGAAUAAGCAUCGGCUAACUCCGUGCCAGCAGCCGCGGUAAUACGGAGGAUGCGAGCGUUAUCCGGAUUUAUUGGGUUUAAAGGGUGCGUAGGUUGUUCGGUAAGUCAGCGGUGAAACCUGAGCGCUCAACGUUCAGCCUGCCGUUGAAACUGCCGGGCUUGAGUUCAGUGGCGGCAGGCGGAAUUCGUGGUGUAGCGGUGAAAUGCAUAGAUAUCACGAGGAACUCCGAUUGCGAAGGCAGCUUGCCAUACUGCGACUGACACUGAAGCAUGAAGGCGUGGGUAUC
rnacentral:rRNA from 1 species